AUGGGAAUUCCUUCUAAAGGUAAAAGACUGUCUGUUCUCAUGGCGGUGGCAUGUGUGGCAUCAUGGUGCACCGGAGCUAUAUUUGGAGCAGUGCCAGUAGCCUUUGACUGGAUAAGGUAUGAUCCAGCAGAAAUGCUGUGUGCAGUGUUCUGGGAAAGCAGUUACUCUGACAUGCUGGUUUACAUCCUCUGUGCCUUCUCCAUCUCCAUCUUCGUCCCAUUUCUACUCAUACUCUCCUGCUCCAUCCUGAACUGUGUAGGCUUUGGAAAAGAUGGUUCCAGCCAGGGUGACCUGUCUUCUAUCACGCCACUGCUGGUGAUCUUGUAUCUGUUCUGCUAUGCUCCAUUUGCUGCAUCUGAGUUGGUUCUCCUUGCAAGGCUUGAUCUUACCCCAUCCCCUGAAUGGCUGCGAUCACUGUCAUCAGUAAUGGCAUAUCUGGACUGUGUUUUAAACCCCUUUAUCUACUGCACUAAUAAAAACUUCCGAAAAGCAGUACUCAUACUGUUUUGGAACAAAAGGAGAUCAACUUUUCCCGAUCCAGUGCUGACCGGCAUUACAAGGCUCGAAAUAUGAAGCUUUAAGAUAAAGAUGAUUAAAAAGGUUUGUGUUUUUUUCUUGUGCGACAGAUUUUGUAACGCAUCUCAUCAUGAUUUUAAUGGGAAGAAAUGACAGUGUCUCAUGACUAGAUGUGUGCUGAGAUACAAAUAUUGUAGUGUAGGUAAAGGCAGACAUGCAGCUUAUAAUAAAUCUGAUAGAUGUUUUUGCUCA
ensembl:lncRNA